AGGGAAGACAUCAGACCAACAGGAAGGAGUGUCCAGCACCCAUCCCUAGGUCCCUGCUUGGCGGAGCUGGGCCUAUUGUCAUCAUACAUACCAAUGCAGGAGUUUGCUGCAGUCAUCACAAUAAGAAGGACAGUGAACAACUAUUUGGUCAGAGAAGAAACAAAAAAAGAAAUCAAAAGAUACACAGAGACAAAUUAAAAUGAAAAUACCAC